rnacentral:misc_RNA from 1 species
GAUGAAGAACGUAGCGAAAUGCGAUAAGUAAUGUGAAUUGCAGAAUUCAGUGAAUCAUCGAAUCUUUGAACGCAUCUUGCGCUCCUUGGUAUUCUGAGGAGCAUGCCUGUUUGAGUGUCAUUAAAUUCUCAACCGCACUGACUUUGAAUUGGUGUGGCUUGGAUUUGGGGGGAAAAUUGUUGUGGGCUUUUUUGUAUAGUCUGCUCCCCUGAAAUUGAUUAGCGGUACCUUUGUGGAACUGUCUACAGGUGUGAUAAUUAUCUACAUCCUAGACAUCUGCUGGAAUGCUGCUUUCUAAACCUUACUUGUAUUGACAAUCUUGACCUCAAAUCAGGUAGGACUGCCCGCUGAACUUAAGCAUAUCAAUAAGCGGAGGA